rnacentral:rRNA from 1 species
GACGGAGGAUGCAAGUGUUAUCCGGAAUCACUGGGCGUAAAGCGUCUGUAGGUGGUUUAAAAAGUCCACUGUUAAAGAUUGAAGCUUAACUUCAAAAAUGCCGUGGAAACUUUUAAACUUGAGUAUGAUAGGGGUAGAGGGAAUUUCCAGUGGAGCGGUGAAAUGCGUAGAUAUUGGAAAAGAACACCAACGGCGAAAGCACUCUGCUGGGCCGACACUGACACUGAGAGACGAAAGCUAGGGGGAGCGAAUGGG